rnacentral:rRNA from 1 species
UACGAAGGUCCCAAGCGUUAUCCGGAUUUAUUGGGUUUAAAGGGUGCGUAGGCGGACUACUAAGUCAGACGUGAAAUCCCUCGGCUUAACCGGGGAACUGCGUCUGAUACUGGAUGGCUUGAGUUCGGGAGAGGGAUGCGGAAUUCCAGGUGUAGCGGUGAAAUGCGUAGAUAUCGGGAGGAACACCAGUGGCGAAGGCGACUACCUGGCCUGUUCUUGACGCUGAUGCGCGAAAGCCAGGGGAGCGAACGGG